rnacentral:rRNA from 1 species
AUUGAACGCUGGCGGCAUGCCUUACACAUGCAAGUCGAACGGGAACAGGUCUUCGGAUGCUGACGAGUGGCGAACGGGUGAGUAAUACAUCGGAACGUGCCUAGUAGUGGGGGAUAACUACUCGAAAGAGUGGCUAAUACCGCAUGAGAUCUACGGAUGAAAGCAGGGGAUCGCAAGACCUUGUGCUACUAGAGCGGCCGAUGGCAGAUUAGGUAGUUGGUGGGAUAAAAGCUUACCAAGCCGACGAUCUGUAGCUGGUCUGAGAGGACGAUCAGCCAAACUGGGACUGAGACACGGCCCAGACUCCUACGGGAGGCAGCAGUGGGGAAUUUUGGACAAUGGGCGAAAGCCUGAUCCAGCAAUGCCGCGUGCAGGAUGAAGGCCUUCGGGUUGUAAACUGCUUUUGUACGGAACGAAAAGCCCCGGGUUAAUACCCUGGGGUCAUGACGGUACCGUAAGAAUAAGCACCGGCUAACUACGUGCCAGCCGCCGCGGUAA